CCAGUGUAGAAGGAAAAAGAGGGUUGGA
rnacentral:piRNA from 1 species